UACAAUCUUUGCAAAGAACGCCUGAAGCAGCAGCUGGAUCGGCUCCGUCCCAGGUGAGCUCUGCUUUUGGGCCAUUAGUGGAGAAGAGUGCUAAAGUCAACAUUAAAUGCAAGAUAUUCAUUGUGCGGUAUAUUUAUUAUUAGGGUGGUAGUUUGUAGUUACAGUAUGUGGGGGCUAUAUACCUGUAGUUUGUUUCCUUUACACUUAUUUGAGCUUGAAUUUGCAAUGCUACUGAGGGUGCGGAUGGUACAUGGUGCAUGAUGUGUGCGCAUGGUCCUCUUUAAAAGGAUGUUCCAGGCAGGUCCACCACAUUAAGUCAGCUACAGAACCGUCCAUGAUGCCUUCACUGUCAGCGAUUGGAUGGAUUGUUUUUUGUCUGCUCCUCUGGGAGAAACACGCAGCUCGCAGUAAAGAGACGCAAUGCUCCGUGGCUCCAGUGGGGGCGCGCCACCCGGUUGAGGCUCUGCUGGAGAGGUUUGAAGCUGGUCCGGGCUGCGCUGCCAGAGAGAGUGGAGACAAGGAGACGCAUGUCAUUGCAGUGGGGAGAGGAACAAGUGGACCUGACAAUACGGUCACAGUACUGCUGAAGCCCUUGUCUCUGACCCCAACGGAUCUGAGAACAGUUCACUUGCUACUCAGCUCCAAGCGGCCAGUCAGCUGGCGGCUGGAAGUUGAGCGACUUCCCCCUGACCUUCCUGUGCUCGUGAAGGUGUCCUCAAACUCCAGCGUACAGUCCCACACUCUACGUUUGCACGUCCAGCCGUUGCAUUGGCUCCCUUUCCGCCCGCGUGCGCUUUACCGCUGGGCUCUUAAACACCACGGCAACCUGUCGUCUCUGACACACGUCACACAUGGAAACCGAGUCUAUGUCCGACUAGGAGAGGAUCUGACUCAGCCUCCGAUAUGCCAGCUUCAGUCCAUGUUUCUCUCCAAAAACUACAUGACUUCUGACUUGCAGCUACAGGAAGUACAAGGCUGCGGCCGUGCAGCAGCAGGUGGAAGCAACCCGGAGGUCCAUGUGAUAAAACUCCAUUCAGCAGGCUCGGGACUCUGCGGCUCUCUGCAGGUGGAGGUGAUCGUCUCGCUCGUGCCUCCGCCAAACAACUCUUUGAGACCAAAGGUUGUGCUGAUUCUUAGCAGCUCGGUGCCAGUCAAUUGGGCCAUUGUUGCUCACGGAGUCCAGGGUCAUAUCUCUAUUCACUCCUCCAACAGUGUUUCUCCUCCCUACCCUCCUGAGCCGGACCUAAGCCUCGCCACGACACUCAUCCCUGAUCUCUCCACCAUACCGGACCUCCUUUUGUGGGCCAACGUGAGUGGCUACAGCAACGUGACCUCGUACACUGAGGCUGACCAAGCUAAUCGCUUUGUGAUCCAGCUGUCUGGAACCGGAACAGCCGUGAAACCUGUUGCCAAGAGGCCGAAAUGGGCCGAAGAGCGCCGCCUGAGAGAAUGGCUCAACGGUGGAGCCAGAGCAGGCGGAGGCAGAGAGAGUUUCACAGUGCAGUGCGAGGACGGACGCCUCAGCGUGACACUGGACCGACACACCCUGCAGAGUUUGUCUGUGCCCGUCUCUGCUGUGACUCUGCGGGACCCAAAGUGCCAGGCUCAGUCCAAUGGGAGUCAUUUCCUAUUGGUGUUCCCAAUCAUUUCCUGUGGGACCGAGGGUCAGCUCCUGGGACACGCUAAAGGGGUGCAGUACAAAAACACGGUGCUGUUAUGGAGAGACCAGCCUCACACAACGCUGGCACAAAAUGACACUGACUGGGCUUCCAGAAGUUCACUUGGGAUACAUUUCAGCUGUUUGGCAGACCUCCCCAGCAGCCCUCAAGUAGCUCCCGAUGAUGACCUGAACACUUCUCAGGCACCCUGGGGCCUCCUGCCUGAUCCUGGACCGAUGCACUUCCAAACACCCAGACUCAAAUCUGGACCUUUGCUUCUUUUGAAGCUUUUCGUCACCGAGAGCUACAAGCAGCGGCGCAUUGGACCGUGUGUCAUCGCCGCAGACCAGCGUGUCUACGUCGAGAUUUCUGCCGAAGGGCCCUUCAUAGACGUCGCUGAGGUGAAGUCAUGUGUCGUCUCUCCCCUGUCGGACCCCAAAAGUUCUCCGUUCUGGGAUGUCAUCAGAGACAGCUGUCCCACAGAGGCUUCGCUCACUUUUGUCGAUUUAAAAGAUGACGAGGAUGCAAAAGAUGCUGACGAAGAAGAGGAUGAGAUGGAGGAGAGACUUGAAGAUAAGAAAAGUUCCAAGGAGCUCAAAGAGAAAGUCGUCUCCCAUCGCUCCAAAAGCGGCGGACGAGGGAGAGAAGCCCCCUCAAGGAAGGAAACGAGCAGCACGGCGAUACGCCCAUUGAGAUUCAGUUUCAUCCUCCGACCGGUUUACAAUGUUUCCAUGCAGUUUCUCCACUGCAGCCUUCGCCUUUGUCUCUCUGACACCGCAUCAGGGGAACCCACGAAGAAAACAGCCAAGAAAGAAUGUGAGGAUGGCAAACGUAUCCCUCCACUCAUUUCAAGGACAUCUGGACAUCAGUGUGAGACCAGAAACCUGUCCAGACCGAUGGUGGUGACCCAACCUAUUAGCUCACUGGCACACAAAGCAGUGAAGCCCACCACAGGUCAAAGAACAAAGAGACUGAGUGUCUCCCCCCUGGCCAGCCCAGACCCACCACAGCAAAGAAGUGCUUUGGUGCACACAGGACCAGUGAUGGGGAUCGCCUUUGCAGCCUUUGCAGUGGGUAUCAGCUUGAUGGGGGGGCUGUGGUGCAUCUACAGUUAUACAGGCACACGGCAGACACCGUUUGAAGGAGAAGGUUAUUUAACGGACCAGACUACAGGAGGCCACAGCAUCUGGAAUCCACCUUCACUGUCAGAUCAGCUGACCAGUUCAGUGUAAAGAGAGGACACUGGCUGAAUGGAGAUUUGAUGUCCAUAUGUGACGUGUGGUGCAGUAGCAUGAAGACCAGUCUCUCCAGUUGUCGCUCCCUGUCAGACGUCUGAUGUCUGUCUGCUGACCAAGGAGAGGCCAGCACUCCAACAUCAGGCCUAUUCACAGUAAAUGUGGCUGGAAGAUGAAAAAAUACUUUUAUUUGACCUGUUUUAUUCACAAAAGUCACCUUACAUCCACUGAGAUGAGCACAAAUGACAUCUGUUCUGAAGGGUUGCGUACCAGAUGUAGACGUGUCGCCUGGCGGGGGGCAACCAUUCUGCAUUGAGGUUCCCUCCCAAGGGGAAUGGAAUUCAGCCAGAGGGUCUUUAUGGAGGACUGGCUGCACAUCAUCUUCAGAGUCUCUUCCAACUCGGCCCACAGGCAGACCUUGACCGCUAUGGCAUUGAGCCUGCUGUCUAAAGAAGUCCUUGGCUGGGCCAGUCAGGGACGAUCCCGCCUCUCCUGGUCCGUGCUGGCCUGCACUCACACUGAACAUUUGAUCCCUAGCCUGUUUGCUUGUCCCAUCACUUCUAUUCUGCUGUUUUACUGCAUUUUCUAUGACAGUGUGGACUAUUUCCAGUCUAAUGUGAAGUGGCUCUGAUCAUUUAUUUUGUACAGGGUUGCUGCUGUCAUUAAUACUUGCAAGGGCAGCAAUUGCAUAAUUAAAUGACACAUUCCAUACUACUGCAUUACUGCAGUUUCUCUGACUAUGUGGAUUAUUUCCAGUCUUAUUUUGAGUUAUUCAGAUUAUUUAUAGGGCUUAUAGGUGCUUUUUCCCUGGAAGUGUGUCGUUUUGACUUGCUAGAGGCUUUGGGUUUUUUAUGUGUGUUUUGUGUGCGAUUGCUGGUGUCUCACUGUGGUUUCAGUCAUGGGACUGGUGUCAAACGUGUGAUGCCACUUUCCCACAGCGAACAGCUUUUAUUAUUACGCUCUCUUUGACACUCACACGCAUGAUACACACCCAUUAUAUACUAACUUCCUCACCAUUUCUCAGCUUUCUUUCACUUUGGCAAGUACCUUAUUGCUUUUGGUGAAAGGGUUGAUACUGACAAGCUUAAUUACAUGUGAAAGAGAAACCGCAAUGAUAUGAUGGUUAAAAAAAAACAGGAUGUCUGGCCAUGGGAACGACCGAGUGUAACAGCCCCGUGAUAUCACACUGUGUCACUAACCUGCAACACUUACUGCACGUGCCUCCGAAUGAACAGGAAAUAAUUAUAUUGCUGAUGCCGCAGGGGCAUUUGUCAAUUUGUCAUCAUAAACAAAUAAAAACUUCCCACUGAAGAAACAUGCAGAUUUAAAACCCUGACAGUGCGGUGAUUUCAAUCCACGCCGCUAUUUAAACUAGAUAUGUUCAAAAAGAAGAAAAUGUAUAUAUGAUAAAUAUAUUUUUGCUGUUAGAGCAUGCAAAACCUGUUUAGCACCUUCUAAAUGCGGCUUUUAACAUUAUUAGAGCCAUCGAGACAUGAACUAACACCCCUAUAGUCACCUUUACACUCAUAUUACCCAAUAUAGCAGACAUAAUAACAAAAUAAAAUAAGGCAUUGAAGACAUAAAUAAGACUCUUGUUCAUUUGUGUUGCUGUAAAUGUGUUCCAGUGCUCGUGGAGCUGAGUGGGGGGUGGACAGGAAGUGAUAUUGGGGAUUCAGAGCUGAGUUUUGGCUUGGCGUGGGUUACGGCUGCAACAGUAGGUUGUGUUAGGGAUUAUUGUGUUCGUUGUGAAAUAAUUCAAAUUUGCAAUAAAAGCCUGUUGUUCCGGCGAUCAA